GAGUUUGAUCCUGGCUCAGAUUGAACGCUGGUGGCAUGCUUAACACAUGCAAGUCGAACGGUAACAGGUCUUCGGAUGCUGACGAGUGGCGGACGGGUGAGUAACGCGUAGGAAUCUGCCCAUCUGUGGGGGAUACCAGUUGGAAACGACUGUUAAUACCGCAUAAUAUCUGCGGAUUAAAGGUGGCCUUUGUGCUGCCGCAGAUGGAUGAGCCUGCGUUGGAUUAGCUAGUUGGUGGGGUAAGGGCCUACCAAGGCUACGAUCCAUAGCUGAUUUGAGAGGAUGAUCAGCCACAUUGGGACUGAGACACGGCCCAAACUCCUACGGGAGGCAGCAGUGGGGAAUAUUGGACAAUGGGGGAAACCCUGAUCCAGCAAUGCCAUGUGUGUGAAGAAGGCUCUAGGGUUGUAAAGCACUUUAGUUGGGGAGGAAAGCCUAUAAGUUAAUAGCUUGUAGGAAGGACGUUACCCAAAGAAUAAGGACCGGCUAACUCCGUGCCAGCAGCCGCGGUAAUACGGGGGGUCCGAGCGUUAAUCGGAAUUACUGGGCGUAAAGGGUCUGUAGGUGGUUUGUUAAGUCAGAUGUGAAAGCCCAGGGCUCAACCUUGGAACUGCAUUUGAUACUGGCAAACUAGAGUAUGGUAGAGGAAUGGGGAAUUUCUGGUGUAGCGGUGAAAUGCGUAGAGAUCAGAAGGAACACCAAUGGCGAAGGCAACAUUCUGGACCAAUACUGACACUGAGGGACGAAAGCGUGGGGAUCAAACAGGAUUAGAUACCCUGGUAGUCCACGCUGUAAACGAUGAGUACUAGCUGUUGGAUUCGGUGUAAAGGAUCUAGUGGCGCAGCUAACGCGUUAAGUACUCCGCCUGGGGACUACGGCCGCAAGGCUAAAACUCAAAGGAAUUGACGGGGACCCGCACAAGCGGUGGAGCAUGUGGUUUAAUUCGAUGCAACGCGAAGAACCUUACCUGGUCUUGACAUCCUGCGAACUUUCUAGAGAUAGAUUGGUGCCUUCGGGAACGCAGUGACAGGUGCUGCACGGCUGUCGUCAGCUCGUGUUGUGAAAUGUUGGGUUAAGUCCCGCAACGAGCGCAACCCCUAUUGAUAGUUACCAUCAUUAAGUUGGGUACUCUAUUGAGACUGCCGCUGACAAGGCGGAGGAAGGUGGGGACGACGUCAAGUCAUCAUGGCCCUUACGACCAGGGCUACACACGUGCUACAAUGGGUAUUACAGAGGGCUGCGAAGGUGCGAGCUGGAGCGAAACUCAGAAAGGUACUCUUAGUCCGGAUUGCAGUCUGCAACUCGACUGCAUGAAGUCGGAAUCGCUAGUAAUCGCAGGUCAGAAUACUGCGGUGAAUACGUUCCCGGGUCUUGUACACACCGCCCGUCACACCAUGGGAGUGGGUUGCUCCAGAAGUAGAUAGCUUAACGAAUGGGCGUUUACCACGGAGUGAUUCAUGACUGGGGUGAAGUCGUAACAAGGUAGCCGUAGGGGAACCUGCGGCUGGAUCACC
rnacentral:rRNA from 1 species